GGUACAGUAGGUGGCGGCUUGCACCAACGUUGGUUUGUAGUCCACCAUGAAAAAAAACAGAAGAAACAAAACAAAAUGGAUGCCAGUUUCGAAAAGGAGUUGUGCGAGGAGGUUCGCCGUUACUCACAGAUAUAUGAUUCGUCCUUAAAGGAGUACAGAGACAACCACAUUACCUCAGACGCCUGGCGACAAAUCGCUCAAACGCUUGGGAGAAAUGAACUAGCCUGCCGUAAUAAGUGGAAAGGUCUGCGAGACAGAUAUGUAAGGGCAAGGAAAAAGCUAAAAGAUGGGGGAUGCAACGCAGGUCUAAGUGCCUCUGCCUACAUCAUUUCCAUGUUAGAUUGGCUCUCUGGCUUCAUCAAUCAUUGUCCCACAGAGGCGACGCGGAACGUUAAAUGUAGCAGGCCAGGGCCAAUGCAAUGCGCGCCCCCGAUAAAGGCGCGCAGCUCUCCAUGGAACGCGGAAAAUCCUCAUCUUCCUCUGUCAUCCGUGCGCCUCCUGGUUCCUCCACUGAGGUUGAUGUCAGCCUGUAUGUGGCAGGUGGCCCAGGAGCGGAAUGUAGACCAGUAUAACAAACUGGCGGAAUUCAUCAUGUUGGUGACAGAGAUGGUCCCAGAGCUUCUGAACUACAAACAGAAGACUCAGCUGAUCCUGGGACUGAGAGCUCGGCUCAUCCUUGAAUUAUUAAAGAGGAUGGAUGAGGUUGACUGUAAAGCUAUCCAGGAUCAUCUUAUCAGUUUCCAACAGACGACUACAAACCUCAUGCAUGAAGAGGACCUAGAUGGAGAGGUGGAGACUUCAAAGUCCGCAUUUGUGGAGCUGGUUCAAACUUUGCUUGAAGACCAAUCUGGAAAAGAGAAUUUUUUCAAAGAGGUCUUCCCAGUACAGUAUGGAGCUUGUUUUGAUACAACGCUGCAGAUUCUGGUGUGGGAGUUCUUCCACCAGCUGGAAGAGUUCCUCCCAGUUCCACGUUUUUCACAGGUGGGCUCCAUGUUUGACAUUUCUUCCCUUGACGAGGAGUUUAAGCAGUUUCUCUCUGACCCUGAGGAUCUGAAGAGGAUUUUGCAGCACCAACAAGAGUGGCAAAAGUUGACUAAAAGUUUCUCAGGUGAAUUCACCUUUAUGUCAGACGCCAUCCUCUCCACGCUCGCCUCGAAACAGACUUCAGCGGCAUCUGAAGAUCAGGAUCAAAUAAUGGAUCCUGAAGAGGGCAAACAAGACACUGGGAAAUCACAGGGAAGAAAUCGAGAGCAGUCAGUACAGACAACAGUGAAGCAAGAAAACAGCUGGAGACCAGAAGAUAGUUGUGAGGACGAUGAAGAGACAGACAACAGUUCCAUUGAACCAGAUUGUGGGCUGUCUGAGUACGGGCUGUCACCCCUCACUUCCUCUCCAUGUUCAGAAGAGGCUGCUGAGCCAGGGGAGAGUGGAGGCAGAGCCGAUGUCUCUCUUCCAUUCAGUGAGGACUCCGUAAGAGCCAAUGAGAACAUUUGCCUGGAAUGUGGAAAGACAUUUGCAUCCCGUUCCACCUUGAAACAUCAUCCACUUGUUCACACUUCUGCAUGACCAUUCAAGUGCACUCAGUGUAACAAGGCAUACAAAUGGCGCCAACACCUGAAACACCAUUUACUCACUCACUCUAAAUGGACAGUCCGGUCCUUUGCUUGCAGCCUUUGUGAGAAGAGAUUUAGUUCUCAAUCUUUACUUAAAGUUCAUCUACGUCGUCACAGCGGAGAGCGGCCAUUCGGCUGCUCGUACUGUGACAAGAGGUUCUUGACAAAGCCAGUUUUAAAGUCCCAUGUGCGCAUUCACACCGGUGAGCGGCCAUAUGCCUGUACUUUUUGCGGCAAGAGAUUCAGACAGUCAUAUACGCUGGCUGUUCACCUCAGGAUGCAUAAGAAAGAGAAGCCUUACCUGUGCAGCUCAUGUGGUAUGUCCUUUUGUAGCUCUGGGGCCUUGCUGGUCCACACACUCAUGCACACAGGUGCAGCCUAAUCAAUGUGACAUCUGUGGAAAAGGUUUUACCACAGCUAUGCAUUUGACACAACAUCGGCGAUACCACACUGGAGAGAGACCGUAUGCUUGCUCACAAUGUGACACAUUGCUCAAAUUUGAGACAGGACUGAAGAGACACAUGAAGGCACAGGAGAGAAACCUUACCAGUGUUUAACAUGUCACAAGACUUAACAUGAGGGUACACCUCAAAGUCCAUACAAUCAUCUAGCAUACUGUUUUGACUUUUGGAGAAUGUAUAGUUAGUUAAAAAGAAAAGCCUGGUUCAUUUCUACACCAGGGCAGGCUGUUAAAGUGUAUUUCCAUAACAGUAAAACAUCAACAUGUAUGUAAACAUGGACCAGAACACUCAAAUGUUACAUGUGGAGUAAUGUGUACCUCAUGUUUUAAGAGACCAUAACAUAACCCGGUCAGUUACUGUAGGUUCAUGACUUCUGAUACAAUAUAUACCAAAAUGAAAGAAGGCUGAAAAGUGAGAUAGUAUCAGACGUGUGGCUUAGAAGAUAUUGAUCCUUUGUAACAUAAGAAUGUGAAUGAAUGUACUCUUUACCCAACCCAUAAACAUCUUUGAUAAGA